rnacentral:misc_RNA from 1 species
GAUGAAGAACGCAGCGAAAUGCGAUAAGUAAUGUGAAUUGCAGAAUUCAGUGAAUCAUCGAAUCUUUGAACGCACAUUGCGCCCGCUAGUAUUCUGGCGGGCAUGCCUGUCCGAGCGUCAUUUCAACCCUCAAGCCCCCGGGCUUGGUGUUGGGGCCGUUGUCGUUUCCUCGCCCCCCAGCGACAUAGCGACACCCCUUAAAGUCAUUGGCGGCCUUUCUGCCCAGCUUCCCGCGCAGCAGUUCGCGCUUCGGAGACCACUUGGCAGGCUGGCAUCCAUCAAGCUGACCCCUCACGCUUGACCUCGGAUCAGGUAGGGAUACCCGCUGAACUUAAGCAUAUCAAUAAGCGGAGGA